ensembl:lncRNA
AUUUCCAUGAAAGGUAGAAGUGAAGUAUCUGAGUUUAUACUUGGAAGGUCGCUGUUCGGUCAGGUGUUAUUGCAGCUCAAGCACAGAGCUGUGGGCCUGUUGGUUCACUUUACUGGUGUAAGGCAGGAGCUGAGUCUGCAGCUUUUAGGUCUCACUGGAUCUCCUUCUUCAGCUUCUUCAACUCCUGGGCUAGGUACAAUUUUAGCUCUGAGAUGAAUUCAGCUAUUGCUCUCUUACAUCACGGAAGUUGGAGGCUUCGAGGUAGUGAAAAAAGUCCAUAUCAUCAAAGCUAUAGUUUUUCCAGUAGUCAUGUAUGGAUACGAGAGUUGGACUAUAAAGAAGGCUGAGUGCCGAAGAACAGAUGCUUUUAAACUGUGGUGUUGGAGAAGAUUCUUGAGAGUCCCUUGGACUGCAAGGAGAUCAAACCAGUCAAUCCUAAAAAAUCAAUCCUGAAUAUUCAUUGGAAGGACUGAUGUUGAAGCUGAAGCUCCAAUACUUUGGCCACCUGAUGCGAAAAACUGACUCAUUAGAAAAGACCUUGAUGCUGGGAAAGAUUGAAGGCAUGAGGAGAAGGGAACAACAGAGGAUGAGAUGGUUGGAUGGCAUCACCUACUCAACAGACAUGAGUUUGAGCAAGCUCUGGGAGAUGCUGAAGGACAGGGAAACCUAGCAUGCUGCAGUCCAUGGGGUUGCAAGGAGUAAGACAUGACUGAGCGACUGAACAGCAACAAAAAUGAUAAAUAGACACUACAACAUUGGAUAUGCAUGUCUUAUUCUUGACUUUAAUUAGGACGGCUUCUGAAGUCUCAUUUUUAAAUAUAAUUCUUGCUGUAGGUUUUUAAUGACCAUCCUUUACCUUUAGUUCAGUAAAGUGUAUAAUUUUUAAAUGAAUGAGUGUUGAAUUUUAUAAAAAUUUUUUCUGUGUCUAUUAAGAUCAUUAUAUUUUUAUUCAAUCUAGUUUUGUAGAAUACUACUUUGAUAUCUACCUUUUCACCCUGAAGUUUACUAAAAAUGUCAUUUUUUAAAUGAUUAUAGAAUGUUAUUAAAUAUUCUUCUGCAUCUAUUUAAAGUAUCACAUUUUUUUUCUUUAUUUUGUAAAUAUGGUGUACACCUCAAUAGAUUUUAUGAUGUUUUCUUACACUCCCAGGACAAACCCUACUUGAUCAUGAUUAUUAUUAUAUAAACUGCCAAAUUUGAUUUGCUAACAUUUUAUUUAACAAUUCACCACCUUAGGAUCAUAAGAAUAAUU